CCUACGGGAGGCAGCAGUGAGGAAUAUUGGUCAAUGGUCGGGAGACUGAACCAGCCAAGCCGCGUGAGGGAUGAAGGUACAGAGUAUCGUAAACCUCUUUUGUCAGGGAACAAAGGCGGGGACGUGUCCCCUGAUGAGUGUACCUGAAGAAUAAGCAUCGGCUAACUCCGUGCCAGCAGCCGCGGUAAUACGGAGGAUGCGAGCGUUAUCCGGAUUUAUUGGGUUUAAAGGGAGCGCAGGCGGUCUGUUAAGUCAGCGGUCAAAGCCCGGGGCUCAACCCCGGCCCGCCGUUGAAACUGGCAGUCUCGAGUUGGAGAGAGGUAGGCGGAAUGCGCGGUGUAGCGGUGAAAUGCAUAGAUAUCGCGCAGAACUCCGAUUGCGAAGGCAGCAUGCCAACUCCACACUGACACUGAGGCACGAAAGCGUGGGUAUCGAACAGGAUUAGAUACCCUUGUAGUC
rnacentral:rRNA from 1 species